UGUGCCCUACGGGAGGCAGCAGUGGGGGAUAUUGCACAAUGGGGGAAACCCUGAUGCAGCGACGCUGCGUGGGUGAAGAAGCGCCUCGGCGCGUAAAGCCCUGUCAGCAGGGAAGAAAAUGACGGUACCUGAAGAAGAAGCCCCGGCUAACUACGUGCCAGCAGCCGCGGUAAUACGUAGGUGGCAAGCGUUGUCCGGAUUUACUGGGUGUAAAGGGCGUGCAGCCGGGAAGACAAGUCAGAUGUGAAA
rnacentral:rRNA from 1 species